CCGUCAGCAUAAUACUGAAAGCUGUUGUGUUAGUAAUGUGCUAGUAGAUAAAAAUACUACUGUGAAAAGUUGCAUUAAGCAGUGAAUAGUUCGCAUUUUUUCAGCUUUUUAAGCACAGAUAAAAUCCAACAAAAUGCCUGCGCAUCCCUCAGAAACAAAAAAUCUUAUCACGACAUAUCUCAUUUUGAUAGUUCUACUCUUCGCGUUAUGGGUCUUAUACUCGGGGCUACUUUAAACUGAAACUUUAAAGUAUUGUAUUUUUAAGAUUCUACAAAUAAGUGACCACAAGAUGACGGUAUUUCCAAAAAAGCCCGAGAGUAGCGAUUAUCAUAAAAGACAAUUAAUGCCAUCCGACUUUAAAGAAAGUGCAA